CGCGUAGGUGGUUUGGUAAGUCGGAUGUGAAAGCCCCGGGCUCAACCUGGGAAUUGCAUCCGAUACUGCCUGACUAGAGUAUGGUAGAGGAUAGCGGAAUUCCGGGUGUAGCGGUGAAAUGCGUAGAUAUCCGGAGGAACAUCAGUGGCGAAGGCGGCUAUCUGGACCAAUACUGACACUGAGGUGCGAAAGCGUGGGGAGCAAACA
rnacentral:rRNA from 1 species